AUUCAAAGGCUCCUUGUUAUUCAGAUUCCUUUGUUAAGUGUCAGGUUAACCGGCUGGACCUGUGGCCUCCCUCCUAUCGUCUCAUCUGCCUGUUAAUCUUACUUGUUCAUUUCUGUCUGCCAAUGAGAAUAGGAACAGGUCAAGCUGUGUGUGCAGUGUAUGCAAAAUGAUGUUGCUGUUUUUGUCCAAGGAGGAGUCCUGUACCUUCUGGCUUCUUGAAAGAAAAGAAAAGGCCUAUUAAGAAGGCCAGGUUGUUUACAUGGUGAAUGAAGCUGAGCGCUGAAGAACUGAUGCUUUUGAACUGUGGUGUUGGAGAAGACUCUUGAGAGUCCCUUGGACUGCAAGGAGACCCAACCAGUCCAUUCUAAAGGAGAUCAGUCCUGGGUGUUCAUUGGAAGGACUGAUGUUGAAGCUGAGACUCCAAUACUUUGGCCACCUGAUGCGAAGAGCUGACUGAUUUGAAAAGACCCUGAUGGGAAAGAUUGAAGCAGUGUUAUACGUGCAUUUCAUCUGUUGGAAAAAAUGAGUGCAAUGAUGUGUCAAUUGAUGCUUUUGAACUGUGGUGUUGGAGAAGACUCUUGAGAGUCCCUUGGACUGCAAGGACAUCCAACCAGUCCAUUCUAAAGGAGAUCAGUCCUGG
ensembl:lncRNA